AAAGUCUGAGAAAUCAGCAUAGUUUACUUUACCGAAAAUUCACGUUCAAAAUGGUGCAUGCUCUACUGAAAACAGCAAAGAGAGAGAGAGAAAGGGGGGACACAAGUCAUUAUUCAGAUUUUAGUGUCAUUUAAUCAAAUAGUAACAGACAGUAAAAUAUUAGUCUGAAUCACAAGCUGAUUAUUCUCACUUCGAAACUAGGAUAUACUCAAAUUAACCACAGCACUGGUUUGUAAACACGAUUGUGAGCCUUUUAAAACAUGGCAAACGUAUUUAUAGAAUAACCAAUGAGUCGCUUUUUGAGCCACCUAAUGAGUCACUUUCUUCAUGUUCUUUGUCCUCUGAGCCAGUUAGAUACUAUUUUUAUUUAUUUACAAGCAUGACGCUCACUUCAGAAAAGCCAUGAAGGUUUUACCUCUGAAGAGCAGAAUGGAUAUGAGGAGUGUGCUUAGUUCUAUUAUUAAACAAGGACAGUUGAUCAAGAUGGGAGAAAAAUGAAAACCCAUAACUUUUUUCCAAGCAAGUCUUCUAGAGUCUACAAUAGAUUUGUCUCUUUAAAGUUGGGAGGAGUGUGAGCAGGCCUAAGGCCAGAGAUCCUGGGCAAGCAUCCUCAAGGCGGAAGCACUGGGCCCCUCCCUGAGGCCCUGUGAGCCCCUCCCUAGAGGCUGAAUUGGGCAGUGAAACUUACUUAAGGCCAUAAAGCCGUUUUAAAAAGGAAAGCAAGGCAAAUGUUUUUCUUGUCUUCUUUUAAACUGACUAGAUCCCCAGCUAAAUGUGAAGGAUCAUGCUUUGGUAAAUCUCAGAGUUCCUAAUGAACCAACUCUGCCCCACAGCCUUUUCCUGGAAAGGGGCUGGGAAACGGAAAAGAGGCCCUCCAGCCUUCUCAGUACCAUUGUUCCCCAAGGCUAGCCAGAGAAACUUGAAUCCCUCCUUCUCCAAGGUGGGUCACAGAAACAGAACCCCUUUUCCCCAAAGCAAGCCAUCAUACCUAAAAAUAUUACUCUCCCUCCACCUUUCUGUGUAAAAACUGUCCAUAAAGAAAUAACUUGGCUGGGUGUGGUGGCUCACGCCUGUAAUCCCAGCACUUUGGGAGGCCAAGGCGGGCGGAUCACCUGAGGCCAGAAGUUCGAGACCAGCCUGGCCAACAUGGCGAAACCCUGUGUCUACUAAAACUACAAAAAAGUAGCUGGGCAUGGUGGUGGGCGCCUGUAAUCCCAGCUACCUGGGAGGCUGAGGCAGGAGAAUUACUUGAACCCAGGAGGCAGAGGCUGCAGUGAGCCAAGAUCGAGCCAUUGCACUCCAGCCAGGGCAACAAGAGUGAAACUCCAUCUCAAAAAAGAAAAGAAAUCACCUGACCUACCUUGUCUGACUAUAGGUUGUAAGACCCCCAUUCCAGAGAGAGUCCUGCCCAUACCCAGAAGGAAGGAAUGCUGCUCAGAGAGGCUGAGAAGAAUCUAGACAGACAGACUUGCUGGGUUUCCCCACUCAGCCUAUUAGCAUUAGAUCAUAGCCUUUUCUUCCAAUCAUAUUUCCACACAGCUGUCCAUACUUUGUUGAACCUAAGCAUAAAAAUGGACAAUUUUCCCUGUACCUUUGGGUCUUCAUUCUGAAGGCUCCUGUGUAUACAUAUUAAAUAAACUUGUAUGCCUUUUCUCUUAUUAAAUAAACUU
rnacentral:lncRNA from 10 species